rnacentral:rRNA from 1 species
CACCGCGGUUAUACGAGAGGCCCAAGUUGACAGACAGCGGCGUAAAGGGUGGUUAGGGAAGUACCCCAGCUAAAGCCGAAAGCCGUCAAGGCUGUGAUACGCCCCUUCGAUGGCACGAAGACCGACUACGAAAGUGGCUUUAACCUACCUGACUCCACGAAAGCUGAGGAA